AGCCAAGCUUGCUUGGUGGAUCAGUGGCGAACGGGUGAGUAACACGUGAGCAACCUGCCCUGGACUCUGGGAUAAGCGCUGGAAACGGCGUCUAAUACUGGAUAUGAGCUCCUUCCGCAUGGUGGGGGUUGGAAAGAUUUUUCGGUCUGGGAUGGGCUCGCGGCCUAUCAGCUUGUUGGUGAGGUAAUGGCUCACCAAGGCGUCGACGGGUAGCCGGCCUGAGAGGGUGACCGGCCACACUGGGACUGAGACACGGCCCAGACUCCUACGGGAGGCAGCAGUGGGGAAUAUUGCACAAUGGGCGGAAGCCUGAUGCAGCAACGCCGCGUGAGGGAUGACGGCCUUCGGGUUGUAAACCUCUUUUAGCAGGGAAGAAGCGAAAGUGACGGUACCUGCAGAAAAAGCGCCGGCUAACUACGUGCCAGCAGCCGCGGUAAUACGUAGGGCGCAAGCGUUAUCCGGAAUUAUUGGGCGUAAAGAGCUCGUAGGCGGUUUGUCGCGUCUGCUGUGAAAUCCCGAGGCUCAACCUCGGGCCUGCAGUGGGUACGGGCAGACUAGAGUGCGGUAGGGGAGAUUGGAAUUCCUGGUGUAGCGGUGGAAUGCGCAGAUAUCAGGAGGAACACCGAUGGCGAAGGCAGAUCUCUGGGCCGUAACUGACGCUGAGGAGCGAAAGGGUGGGGAGCAAACAGGCUUAGAUACCCUGGUAGUCCACCCCGUAAACGUUGGGAACUAGUUGUGGGGACCAUUCCACGGUUUCCGUGACGCAGCUAACGCAUUAAGUUCCCCGCCUGGGGAGUACGGCCGCAAGGCUAAAACUCAAAGGAAUUGACGGGGACCCGCACAAGCGGCGGAGCAUGCGGAUUAAUUCGAUGCAACGCGAAGAACCUUACCAAGGCUUGACAUAUACGAGAAUGGGCCAGAAAUGGUCAACUCUUUGGACACUCGUAAACAGGUGGUGCAUGGUUGUCGUCAGCUCGUGUCGUGAGAUGUUGGGUUAAGUCCCGCAACGAGCGCAACCCUCGUUCUAUGUUGCCAGCACGUAAUGGUGGGAACUCAUGGGAUACUGCCGGGGUCAACUCGGAGGAAGGUGGGGAUGACGUCAAAUCAUCAUGCCCCUUAUGUCUUGGGCUUCACGCAUGCUACAAUGGCCGGUACAAAGGGCUGCAAUACCGUAAGGUGGAGCGAAUCCCAAAAAGCCGGUCCCAGUUCGGAUUGAGGUCUGCAACUCGACCUCAUGAAGUCGGAGUCGCUAGUAAUCGCAGAUCAGCAACGCUGCGGUGAAUACGUUCCCGGGUCUUGUACACACCGCCCGUCAAGUCAUGAAAGUCGGUAACACCUGAAGCCGGUGGCCCAACC
rnacentral:rRNA from 1 species